rnacentral:lncRNA from 13 species
AGAGAGGACAGGCUAUGUGAACAAACACCAUUGUAAAUACAACCCAUAUUUCUGCUUAUUUAUUUUCCCAUGUGUACUUUAACCAUUUGUACAUUGUUACAACACUGUAUAUAUAUACAUAAUAUGANNNNNNNNNNUGUCACCACUGGGCCCAUAUAUCACCACUGGGCCCACAUAUCGCCACUGGGCCCACAUAUCACAUAUUACCACUGGGCCCACAUAUCACAUAUAAUGUAUCACCUCUGGGCCCAAAUAUCACAUAUCACCACAGGGCCCACAUAUCACAUAUCAUCACUGGGCACACAUAUCACAGCUGGGCCCACAUUUAACAUAUCCCAUAACACAACUGGGACAAAAAAAUCACAUAUCAACACAGGGACAAAAUAUCACAUGUCACCACAGGGCCCAAAUAUCACAUAUCACCACUGGGCCCAAAUAUCACAUAUCACCACUGGGCCCACAUAUCACAUAUCACCACUGGGCCCAAAUAUCACAUAUCACCACUGGGCCCACAUAUCACAUAUCACCACUCUUCAACAUAUAUAUCAACGAAUUAGCGCGGGCACUAGAAAUGCCUGCAGCACUCGGCCUCACCCUACUAGAAUCUGAAGUCAAAUGUCUACUGUUUGCUGAUGAUCUGGUGCUUCUGUCACCAACCAAGGAGGGCCUACAGCAGCACCUAGAUCUUCUGCACAGAUUCUGUCAGACCUGGGCCCUGACAGACCUGGGCCCUGACAGACCUGGGCCCUGCCAGACCUGGGCCCUGACAGACCUGGGCCCUGNNNNNNNNNNUAUUGGUAUGUUACACAUAUGGGGAGUUGUAGGGUCUGGAUCACACUUGGUUGAGUGACCCAGUUUCUACACUACAUCUGAUGCCCUUUCUCUCUCUCUCUCUCUCUCUCUGCUAUCAUCAUAACACUCUUAUGUGAGACAUUCCCACUGCAACAUACAGUAUACAUCUAGGAAUAUGUGAACUCAAACAACAUAACGGAAUACCAAAAUAACCUUUAGCGUUUGAAAUAUAAAACAUAGAAGCUUUUUUUUUUUUUUUUAAUUAAGUUAAGAAUGACAGAAGCUUUUGAAAUACUACCCUUGGAAAUCAAAUCAAAUCAAAUGUAUUUAUAUAGCCCUUCUUUCAUCAGCUGAUAUCUGAAAGUGCUUAUACAGAAACCCCCAGCCUAAAACCCCAAACAGCAAGCAAUGCAGGUGUAGAAGCACGGUGGCUAGGAAAAACUCCCUAGAAAGGCCAAAACCUAGGAAGAAACCUAGAGAGGAACCAGGCUAUGUGGGGUGGCCAGUCCUCUUCUGGCUGUGCCGGGUGGAGAUUAUAACAGAACAUGGCCAAGAUGUUCAAAUGUUCAUAAAUGACCAGCAUGGUCUAAUAGUAAUAAUCACAGUAGUUGUCGAGGGUGCAGCAAGUCAGCACCUCAGGAGUAAAUGUCAGUUGACUUAGGAAACUAGAUAAUUGCUUCAGUGCAUUAAAUAAUAUAAAUAUGGCUCCUCAUGUUGUGAUCUGAACUGUGUUCUAGCCCAGUCAUGCUACGUUAGCAGAUUCACUCUACUGUUUGAGUCCUUGCAUCAAUAACCCAAUAGAGAAUUUGGCUUGUGGUUGGCUUGUGUUUGGCUUGUGGUUGGCUUGUGGAUGGAUUGUGGUUGGCUUGUGGUUGGCUUGUGGUUGGCUUGUGGUUGGCUUGUGGUUGGAUUGUGGUUGGCUUGUGGUUGGCUUGUGAAUAACGUGUAUGAAGGUUGGAGAUCAAUUCCAUUUAAAUUCACCAGUCAAUUCAGGAAGUACACCGACAAUCCAAUUCCAUUUCUCUCCAAUGUUUUUCAAUAAGGAACAUUUGGAAUUUGGUUGACUUUCUGAGUUGACUGGAAUUGAAAUGUAAUUGAUCCCAACCCUGAUGUGUGUAUAGUUGCGGACCGAGGUGGUCUGAUCGACGUGGUCUCCCAUAACAGACCAAUCAAUGCGAGCAUGGAAGGAUGAUCGAUCAGCCAAUCUAAUGUUAUUGAUUUCUGAUUAGAGUCCAUAGGGACUGGAUAGAGUGAGGUAAACAGGAGAGGAGAGGAGAGGAGAGGAGGAGGAGGAGAGGAGAGGAGGAGGAGGAAGAGAGGAGAGGAGGAGGAGAGGAGAGGAGGGUAGGGGAGAGGAGAGGAGCGGAGAGGAGAGGAGAGGAGAGGAGAGGAGAGGAGACUUCACUGCAAUGCAGGCUGCUGUAUCACCCUAUCCUAUUUUCUGCUUCUCUCUCUCUCUAUUCCUCCUCUCAGUGGAGCUGCUUCUCUACCCCUCUCUCUAUUCCUCCUCUAAGAAGAGCUGCUCCUCUCUCUCUCUAUUCCUCCUCUAAGAGGAGCUGCUCCUCUCUCUCUCCUUUCCUCCUCUCAGUGGAGCUGCUUCUCUCUCUCUCUAUUCCUCCUCUAAGAGGAGCUGCUUCUCCCUCUCUCUAUUCCUCCUCUCAGUGGAGCUCAGAGCAGACACAUACAGACUGAAACACACAUGUCCACACACAGGGUCGCACAGAUGUUAACAGAAUGUGUAAAGUAAACCAUUUUUUUCUAAAGGGUCGCUGUAGUGUAGAUUAACUUUUUCCAAUGUCUAGUAAUUAGUAGCUUGGUAAGCUCUGUUUUCAGAGUAGCUUCCUCAACACUGACAGCAUAUGACCAGUGGAGAUCCUCAGAAGUCCAGACUCUACCUCAUCUGUCUCACUAUCUCUGUAGUGUUGACAUCUUGUCAGUUUAUACCAUCCUCUCUUUUCCUCUCCCUCCUUAUACUCCCUUUCCAUUGCUACCCCCCCUUUCCCAUUUCCCCUGUCCCUCUCCUUCUCUCUUCAAAGCUCUCCCCCUUCCCCUUUUCUCCUCUCUUCCACCCCCCUCCCCCUCCCCCCACACACACCUCAGUCUCUCUCUGCAGGCAGACUUCUCUGAAUGCUGCUGUGUGGUGCUGCAAAUUGGUCUCAGGGCAUUUCGUAUUAUCCGGUACAUACUGUAAGUCUGAGACUCUCCCUUCACUGUGAUAUGUUACGUUCCGUAAGAGUUACAUUAGAAGGAUGGUUACUUGAGGACAGUGGUUGGUCGGAGUGGAUGGAUGGGCUUAUAACACGAAUGUCUAUCAACCCAAAAGAGUUCAAUUCUCAUCAAAGACAAUUUUAGCUAAUUAGCAAUUUAUCAACUAUUUACUACUUUUUGUGUUAUUUUACAACUACUUAGCAUGUUAACACAUGUUAAUCUCAUCUGUUUUAGCUAAACCUUCACCUAACCAUAACCUUAACCCUAUUAGUUCAUCCUUAUCCUAACCAUAACCUUAACCCUAUUAGUUCAUCCUUAUCCUAACCUUAACCUUAACCCUUUUAGUUCAUCCUUAUCCUAACCUUAACCUUAACCCUUUUAGUUCAUCCUUAUCCUAACCUUAACCUUAACCCUUUUAGUUCAUCCUUAUCCUAACCAUAACCUUAACCCUAUUAGUUAAUCCUUAUCCUAACCUUAACCUUAACCCUUUUAGUUCAUCCUUAUCCUA